UACGGAGGGGGCUAGCGUUGUUCGGAAUUACUGGGCGUAAAGCGCACGUAGGCGGAUCUUUUAAGUCAGAGGUGAAAUCCUGGAGCUCAACUCCAGAACUGCCUUUGAUACUGGGGAUCUCGAGUCCGGAAGAGGUGAGUGGAACUCCGAGUGUAGAGGUGAAAUUCGUAGAUAUUUCGGAAGAACACCAGUGGCGAAGGCGGCUCACUGGUCCGGUACUGACGCUGAAGCUCGAAAGCGUGGGGAGCAAACAGG
rnacentral:rRNA from 1 species